GCCUUCUUAACUCAGCUGUUAGAGCGCAUGGCUUUUAACCAUGUGGUCGUGGUUCGAUUCCCAGUUUCCCAUAAACGGCG